rnacentral:lncRNA from 1 species
AUGGCAUGGUUUCCCAAGUGGAUGGCAGGCAAUAUAUGUUGCUGAAGAAAUUUAUUAUCAGCAUGCUGAUGUGGUCAUAAUUGCAGUUACACUUGUGACGAAAGUUUCUGAGGAAACAAGUUGAAUAUAACAAUUUAUAGCUCUCUAUAUAGGAUAACUAUUCAUUAUGAUGGAAGAAUUAAAGGCUCUAUGUAUAGGAUAG